GAUGAACGCUGGCGGCGUGCCUAAUACAUGCAAGUCGAGCGAACAGACGAGGAGCUUGCUCCUUUGACGUUAGCGGCGGACGGGUGAGUAACACGUGGGUAACCUACCUAUAAGACUGGGAUAACUUCGGGAAACCGGAGCUAAUACCGGAUAAUAUUUCGAACCGCAUGGUUCGAUAGUGAAAGAUGGCUUUGCUAUCACUUAUAGAUGGACCUGCGCCGUAUUAGCUAGUUGGUAAGGUAACGGCUUACCAAGGCAACGAUACGUAGCCGACCUGAGAGGGUGAUCGGCCACACUGGAACUGAGACACGGUCCAGACUCCUACGGGAGGCAGCAGUAGGGAAUCUUCCGCAAUGGGCGAAAGCCUGACGGAGCAACGCCGCGUGAGUGAUGAAGGUCUUCGGAUCGUAAAACUCUGUUAUUAGGGAAGAACAAACGUGUAAGUAACUGUGCGCGUCUUGACGGUACCUAAUCAGAAAGCCACGGCUAACUACGUG
rnacentral:rRNA from 1 species